rnacentral:rRNA from 1 species
UACGUAGGUGGCAAGCGUUGUCCGGAUUUAUUGGGUUUAAAGGGUGCGUAGGCGGCCUUAUAAGUCAGUGCUGAAAAUAUCCCCGGCUUAACCGGGAGGGUGGCAUUGAUACUGUAGGGCUUGAGUGUAGUCGAGGUAGGCGGAAUUGACGGUGUAGCGGUGAAAUGCUUAGAUAUCGUCAAGAACACCGAUAGUGUAGACAGCUUACUAGGCUACAACUGACGCUGAGGCACGAAAGUGUGGGGAUCAAACAGG